rnacentral:rRNA from 1 species
UACGGAGGGAGCUAGCGUUAUUCGGAAUUACUGGGCGUAAAGCGUGUGUAGGCGGCCAUGCAAGUCGGAUGUGAAAGCCCUGGGCUCAACCCAGGAAGUGCACUCGAAACUGCGUGGCUUGAGUACUGGAGAGGUUGGUGGAAUUUCGUGUGUAGGGGUGAAAUCCGCAAAUCUACGAAGGAAGGCCAAAAAGCGAAGGCAGC